GGUUCAUUCAAAUUUCUGCCCUAUCAACUUUCGAUUGUAAGAUAGAGGCUUACAAUGGUCUUAACGGGUAACGGGGAAUUAGGGUUCUAUUCCGGAGAGGGAGCCUGAGAAACUGCUACCACAUCCAAGGAAGGCAGCAGGCGCGCAAAUUACCCAAUGCUGAUCAGCGAGGUAGUGACAAUAAAUACUGAUACGGGGCUCUUUCGGGUCUCGUAAUUGGAAUGAGUACAAUCUAAAUCCCUUAACGAGGAACAAUUGGAGGGCAAGUCUGGUGCCAGCAGCCGCGGUAAUUCCAGCUCCAAUAGCGUAUAUUAAAGUUGUUGCCGUUAAAAAGCUCGUAGUUG
rnacentral:rRNA from 1 species